CGGGAAUAGCUCAUUUGGUAGAGCGCAGCCUUGCCAAGGCUGAGGUGGCGGGUUCGAGCCCCGUUUCCCGCU
rnacentral:tRNA from 1 species